UACGAAGGGUGCAAGCGUUAAUCGGAAUUACUGGGCGUAAAGGGUGCGUAGGCGGUUCGUUAAGUCUGUCGUGAAAUCCCCGGGCUCAACCUGGGAAUGGCGAUGGAUACUGGCGAGCUAGAGUGUGUCAGAGGAUGGUGGAAUUCCCGGUGUAGCGGUGAAAUGCGUAGAGAUCGGGAGGAACAUCAGUGGCGAAGGCGGCCAUCUGGGACAACACUGACGCUGAAGUACGAAAGCGUGGGGAGCAAACAGG
rnacentral:rRNA from 1 species